rnacentral:rRNA from 1 species
GACGAACGCUGGCGGCGUGCUUAACACAUGCAAGUCGAACGGAAAGGCCCCUUUGGGGGUACUCGAGUGGCGAACGGGUGAGUAACACGUGCGUAACCUGCCCUUGACUUCGGGAUAACUUCAGGAAACUGGGGCUAAUACCGGAUAGGAAUCCUUGCUGCAUGGUGGGGGUUGGAAAGCUUCGGCGGUUUUGGAUGGACUCGCGGCUUAUCAGCUUGUUGGUGGGGUAGUGGCUUACCAAGGCUUUGACGGGUAGCCGGCCUGAGAGGGCGACCGGCCACAUUGGGACUGAGAUACGGCCCAGACUCCUACGGGAGGCAGCAGUGGGGAAUAUUGCACAAUGGGCGGAAGCCUGAUGCAGCAACGCCGCGUGCGGGAUGACGGCCUUCGGGUUGUAAACCGCUUUCAGCAGGGGCGAAGCUUGUGGUGACGGUACCUGCAGAAGAAGCACCGGCUAACUACGUG